CAUUUAGGAGGAGAAACAAAUUAGGGCAGUGUCACCAAAAUCCAGAGGAAAAAGAGGAGGACAGAGCAUUCAGUGUUCUCAAAUGCUCAGACAGGAAAAAAUCAAGUUCUUUUGACUAGUAUUGGAAGAAUACUUCAUACGAUGCUCAAGUGCAGUUGGAUAUCAAGACAUUCUGCCAUCUUUAUCAAUUUAUUCUAGGAAGAAAGUCUUUUCUUGGAAACUCAAAAUACCACCUACUGUGUCAGACUGCCAUGAAGCAUUCCUAUCUAGAGAUAGGGGUAGGAAUUGACCUUGUGAUUUCAUUGGUGCAUGAUGUUCCUGAUGAAGGACAAUACAGAGAAAAAGAGUGAAGCCAAAUGACCUGAAACCCAUAGCUCUGAUCAGUCAAAGGAAAAGGAAGCUGGUGAAAGAGGGGUUUACUGAAAAAUCAAUCAGGCUCUAUGAAAGUUCAUUAUGAUUGGCAGAAGAAAAAUGAAAAUGAAAGCUACUUGAGCACAAAAAAAGAGAAGAUUUUAAUUCAUUAGUCUUGAGAGAGCAUUUUUAUGGGCUGUAAUAUUACAUCACAAUACUGCAUUAAGACCUUGUUCUGACUCUAUUUUCUAUUCUUUUAAAAAUU